rnacentral:rRNA from 1 species
UACAGAGGUCCCAAGCGUUGUUCGGAUUCACUGGGCGUAAAGGGUGCGUAGGUGGUGGGGUAAGUCGGAUGUGAAAUCUCCAGGCUCAACCUGGAAACUGCAUUGGAAACUGCCUUGCUAGAGGGUUUGAGGGGGGACUGGAAUACUUGGUGUAGCAGUGAAAUGCGUAGAUAUCAAGUGGAACACCAGUGGCGAAGGCGAGUCCCUGGAAAAUACCUGACACUGAGGCACGAAAGCUAGGGGAGCAAACAGG